GUGGGUUUGGAUUUUUUUUUUUUUUUUGCGUGGGGGUGGGGUGGGCAAAGUGAUGGGGACUGCAGAGGAGUCUGUUACAAAAUCAGAUGCAAUUUUAGCUGUCUGAAAGAGUUGCUUUAGUCUACAGGCAGCUGAUGAUCAAUGGUGCUGUUGGCAAAUCUGCUUCAAACUGGAUGCUGUCUCUCCUGAGGGAAAGUUUCAACUCAAGGCCCACUGUAGUGGUGGUACAGCAAGGGACUUUUGUUUGCUUUGGGCUAAGGACCUUCUGCUGCCCAGUUCCACCAGUGAGAAGAAAAGCUGGAGAUGAUGUGGGAGAGAAACACAGCACUGUCACUGCUGAUAUGAAGGAAAGAUGGAAACAGACUGCUGAAGGUCAAGGUGAGACUGACCGACAGUUCACCUGAGUGUGGUAUUCACCAGCAGAAAUCCAUGCCCACAGAUGCUGGAAGUCUCCUCAGCAAGAGAAACAGCAUUGCUGCAGGGGACACACAACUAGUCUUGAUCUUCUCUACACAAUUCUUCUCUGGGAAAAAGUACCCCCUGAAGUCAGUAUGCAUUCUGCCUAGCUUUCAUCGGAAGAAAAACGUCUGGAUUGAAAUGACAACAACAAAUAAUAGGUAAAGGAUGCUUCCCUGUGGCCUCAUAGAUCUGCUGUGUAACAGAAAACAUUCAGCCCUGGGUGCACAAGAGUUGUGGUUCACGUCUCUCUCCGAAGAAGCCUCAUUUUAAAUAAUGUUGUAGCAUACCUACUCAAUGCAGAUGCUGUGCUGCAGGCAUUUUGGGCUGUGAAUUUCAGCCUGUGCCUCUGGCUAGGCCAUCGAUGACAAGUUGCAAUACUUGUCCUUCUUGCAGAGAUCCCGGUCCAUCUUCAGUCACGUCGCUCACUGAUGGCUAGCUCCCUGUUUUGUUGUACAUCAAAGGUUCAUUUCAUUCCCUUCCCUCCCUUUUCUCUAGGUGUUGGUGAUUUGUGUGCUUUCCAUCUAAACCAGAGAUCUGGCACAUCAAUACUUAGAAGGCUUAGGAGAAAAAGAAAACAUCAAUAUUUCACUGAACAUACAAAGUUGCAUGACUCCCAGAUCUCCAUUUUAAUGUCAGCUGUGGUUAGUUUGGUUUUUUUUUUUUUUUUUUUUUUUCCAUAAUCUGAGUGAUUUCAGCUUCUCUUUGAAUCCCACCUGUGUGAAUAGCUUGGUUUUCUCCAUUGCUAGUUUUAACAAGGAGCUGUGAGGAGUUUGUUCAGGCUCACUAGUCAGGCAGUCCUGAGGUGGCUGACUUCUAGGAAAAGCCACAGCAGGAAUAAGCUAGAGCCAGCCUACGCACCAGGCACAGCUCUUGCUGGUCUUGAGCUUAUGCUCCGACUCACGCUCAUGUUAAACAAAUUGCCAUUAGCAACUGUAAUAUAGACAAAUGCAAAAAAAAACCCCAAACAACUGAGCUGGAUGCUUAGUCAUGGAGCUGUGCUUAGAAAUGAUGGCCCAUUAUAAGGCAGCUUCACUGACUACAGCGGAGCCAUGACAGCUCACGGCAAUUUAGGACUGGUUUCGCUCGCAUUAGUCUGUGGUCUAAAGUUUCUGAUCUUGUCCUCCAUGUGAACUAGAUCAUGCAAAUAGGGGUACUGGAGCCACAGGGAAGUGGAGCAGAGUGCCACAUGAGUACUGGCACAAGAAGGAGCAGCAAUUAGCUCUAAAUUUCACUCUGCCGACCUGUCAUUUCUGAGCUUCCCCCCUGCUGCUCUGUAACGGGAAGCCUUGUGCUCUAGAAGAAGGGGAGAAGAACAUUUUGCUCAUGCUCAUAUUAGACAAGUUGUAUUGUGAGCUGCUGAAGCUGUGAAAUUGUAUCUCCUGUGGUGUUCAGUGGUAAUAACUGUUUCUAUGUGGACUCUCUGGUGUCUAGUAAUACAGUUGUGUUUCUGCAGUGGAUGCACUCACAGGGUUUUUCUCCUCUGCCCGCCUACUUCCACAGCACUUGUAGGCAGCUCAAACCUUUGAAACUUCCAUCACCUGUCAAGUUUGAUCAAACCCAGCUCAUAGGCUCAAAAAAUUAUUUAGGAGGGACUGACUGGCACUUGCACAGACAGUGUGAUCUCAUAAGCUUCCUUUCCUUGGGAAACUAGGCUACCAACCUAGCAACAGGGGAAAAAAAAUGUCAUCCUGCUAGCAAAAAGGACCUAAACACUGGGAGAAAAGAGGGAAAGUGGGAGAGGAAAGUGAAGCUAUUUUGAAGGGAAAAAAAAAAUCAUUGCCUGUGGCUGCAGAACUGUCACACACCUAAACAGCCAACCUUGGGAAGGCAUGCUGGAGAAAAUAUUAUCCAGGAGAUGACAAAAUCUCUUGUAAAAAUUAAUAGGGGAGAGAAAUCACCUGGAGUCAUCUCACCACCAGGCAUUCUAAAUGGAUAUUUAUAUAGUAAGGAUUGUCUCCAGUGGUACCCGUUUCUCUCUACUGACUAGAGGAAGACACCAACACAACUAGCACACAACCCAUACGCCUGCAGUAUCUGACGUGAGGUGGUUCCUAUUCCAAAGGGAACUAUUCUCUUAGCACUUUCUCCUGCAGACCAAAGUUUUCCGUGGUGCUGCUGCAGGAUUUGUUACUCCGUGUACCAUAUUUGUGUUUCAGAAAAGCUGCUUUGUGUCUUAAUAGCUGCAAAUGUACGCAUGGUUUUACUGGAUAUUCAUAAGCACUUAUCUUUUGUGCACUAAAACCUUUCCUGUCCUUGUUAUCUU